rnacentral:rRNA from 1 species
CAGUCGUACCUUCGGGUAAUCAGCCUUUCGAGUGCGAUUCUGUGGAGUGUGAGGAGCUAAACACCUUCAUGCCUGCAUAUUCGUGCUCUUGGGUGUACUUGCUCGUGUGGUUGGUUAACAUCAAUUUCGGACGCCAUAAAAUGGUUGAAAGAAUGUAACUUUGGUUUCGAUCGAGGUAUUAUAGCCUUUGACAGAUGUAAUGAUCAAGACCGAGGAUUGCAACGGAUACCCUUCAGGGCUAUUCGUCUGAUCUUGGUACUUGUCUUUAGUAUCGGAAGUC